rfam:Schistosoma mansoni, Puerto Rico, WGS project CABG01000000 data, contig: 0230
AUCCAGUUGACGAGUCACAAAUAGGACGAAACACGCGUCAAACUGGAU